GGCGAACACACGCAGUUUGGUGAAGUUUUCAAAGUCAUGAAAGCUGAAGAGCCGCCAAAAACUCCUCUUCAGAAAACAAUGGAUUCCUUGGGCAAACAGUUGUCGUUUUAUUCUUUAUGUAUUAUUGCAUUGAUAAUCCUUCUUGGCUGGCUACAAAAUCGAAAGUCUCCUUAAAAACUGAAAACGAUCUCUC